AGUGGCUGCACCAACCAACCCUUUUUACUCCCUGUUUCGGCUGGGGAGGGGUCUUCUUGGUCCCCCCCCUCUCCUUCAGCCUCCUCCCUACCUUCUGUUCCAGGCCUCCUCUCUUUCUUUUCCUGUUUCGCUCUCUCUCUGUCUCUUUAAUUUCUCCCCUCGCACCCUAAUCCUCAGCUCCAGUAGAGGAGGGAGUUCAAAGAAGCAUCGCUGCCUAGUCUUUACCACCCUCUGCUUCCCCCCCCCCUCAACGAAGGGCUUCAAGGAAUUGAAGAGAAAGUGUUCACCGAGGCAGCCAUUUUCAGGGAGGAAAGUAGGUCCUGCUGGGCCAGCUCCGGGUUUGCUUAACCUCCCCCUCCCUCCUCCUCUUUCCGUGCAAGGGGAGGGUGGGAUCCGGGAGUUAAGGACUUGUCCCCCUCCCGUUUCUUCCCUCCCGACGUCCCUUCUCCCUUUGAAACAGGAAGAGAGUAUCUUGGUCGUGGUCCGGUUUCAGCCCCUUGCCUUUGCCUCGAGACGGUGGGGUGUAUUGGAAAAAGAAGGGAGCGAGCACUUAUUUUGUGUUGGAACCCUAUGGCGGAAGGACACGCAGCAAUGGCUUUUGGGGAAGUGAGAGAUGUGCCCGUACGGAGCCUUAGUGCACGCUCGGCUGUGGAUCACUUCGCCGACUUUAACCCUCCAGUGCCCGGACCGGGUGGUUGCAAAAGCACGUGGGAUGGGUUCAGAGGGCUCUUCCUUCCUUCUCCACCCGUUCCAAGGGUGCAAGGCAACUUGGGACAGGUGCAUUUCUCGCAAGAGUCGGGGAAGCCACGUUUUCUCUCAUUGCACAGACUGGGGCGAAAAUAAUAGGGUGCAAAGCAAUCUCACGAGAGAACGGAAGGGACGGAGGGUUCUUGCUAAACUCCAAAGGGGGCGCUCACCCAUUUACCCAGGCACAUGUCUCCAGGACUUUGUAACCGUUGCCGAAGUGGGGUCCCACUGCGCCCCCCAGCGGUGCUAACUUUUUAGCACGUUCAAGGGCGUGUUUUUGCUGCCUAGUCUUCCUCCCCCAUUAGGCCAGCAGUACCCCCCUGCAAACUGUGGAAACGCACAGCAGACCAGCACGGAACCUCUGAGGACGCUGCGACCCACCAGAAUCGGUUAAAACGCACGUUCGUAGUUUUGACCCAUGGUUGCCCCCAAAGGUCUUUCCUGCGCUGUGAAGUUGAUUCGAAGUGUCAGGUUGACCUGGAACAUCUCUCGUCUUGUGUUCUAGUUCCGGAUUGAAGCACGCGCAUUUUCUGAUCGUGAAGCGCUUCGCAAUCCUCGCAGUCCUUCCUGGCUAUUAUUCCUUACACUCGCAUUUACCCAGAUGCGACAAACUGACACAGCUGGUUAUAUAAUCUAUUCGACUCGUAAUUAAAAGUUUGCAUUCCAUAGAAAUUGUACUUCAAAGACACACCAUGGGCCACCUGAAUGGCACUCAUGGACCACUGGUGGUCCACGGACCUCAGCUUGGGAACCCUGCUGUAAGGGAUACUGUUAAAGAGAAUGGCUACAGAUCUGGAGUGUGCCAUGGCUAAAUCAGCUCCAUUUUCCAGAAUGACACCUCUUCCCGAGACACUUUCCAGUCUGGUCUAUGUACUGGCUACACAAGAUAGAGAUCGCUUUGGCUGCCCUGGCGGAUGCUGUUUGUUUGUAGACCGAUAAGGGCAUUUUCUCCUUGCUGAUCUUGCUAGAUGUGGUGGCUUUCAAUAUUGUUUGUUGGACCAUGAUAUUUUGUUGUACAGAUAGAUAUGCCCCAAGUCCUCUAAGUACCUACCAACACCCUUGUUUCAGGAAGUUCUCCAGUGGAUUUGAUCCUUUCUAUCCAGUAGGGUGCACAGGGUGAUUGAUCCCUGCGAGUUGUUACGUGGUGUUCCAGUGCUGUCUGACAUCUACAUGAAGUCACUGGCAAAGAUCAUCCGUACUUUGAGCUUGAGUGCCAUCAAUAUGUUGAUUACACCUAGUUUUAUAUAUUUUUAACUAAAGCAUCCAAGAGUAGCCUAUCUGUGUCCUGAACCGGUAUUUGGAUGCUGUGGGUGGUCAUUUGGUUAUAUUUGAAUCCAGAAAAAAUGAACGUGAUACUGAUAGGAAAUGGCUGUAAUUUCGAGACAGUUCACCUGCCUCUGAUCAGUUAGUUUUUGUUAGCUGCUUUGAUGAUCAAGGUUAAGAGCCUGGGGUACUCCUGGAUCCAGCUUUGCUUUCUGGGCAGCAGGCUGGAGUAACCGCCAGAAGUCUCUCUGCAGCUCAUUAGGAGGUUUCCCCCUCUUUUGGAAAGCAUGUCCUUGGUACACUGCAUCACCAACAGGUCUAGGUCUGGAUUGGUGACUGCCUUGGAACCACAUGUAUACUGCAGUUACCUCAGUGGGUUCCAUGAUGGAAAAAAAGGCGGGAUAUAAAUGAUUUAUUACUUAUGUAGGGCUGCACUUGAGAUGCUUAAGCUGGUUCAAAAUGUUGCUAUGCACUUGAAAGGUGUGAUCUUAUCCAACCUGUUCUGUAUUGGUUACCAACUUGCUUCCAGGCCCAAUUCAAGGUAUUGGUUUUAACCUUUAAACUUUACAGUUUGGGGUCCCCAUACCUCAACGACAGUCUCACCCCAUGAGUCCACUUGCCUAUUACGGUCCAGCCAGCAGGCUUUGCACUAUCUUUGCAACAAAUGAGAACAUUUGCUCAAAGUUGGGCUUUCAUGGUGGCUGCUUCAAAAGUGCGGAACUUCCUCCUUCCAAGCAGGUAUUAGGACAGCAAUUUUGCUUUCUUUUUAUAAGGGCCAUAAGACCCAUUUCUUCAGGUUCACUUUUGAAUGAAUCUUUUUCUGGCUGUUUAUUAGAUUUUGUUGGGUUUGUGUGUUUUAUUUGUUGCUGGGUAGGGGUGUUCAAAAUAUUUUGUUAAGUGUUGCCUAGGAGUCAAAAUAACUACUUUAUGAGUACUUUCAAGAACCCUAUCAAAUUCUUGCUUUCUUGAACAAAAGUUUUCUUGACCUGGGGUAGCUGAGAUGGUGCCUUCGCAUUGUUGUGGAUUCUCACUUCCAUUAGCCCCAGCUAGCAUGUCCAAGGGUCAGGGAUGAUGCAAGUUGUGGUCCAUCUGCAGAGCACAAUAUUGGCUACCCCAGCUUGAUAUGUCACAACAUAACUGCUCAUCAAAACUGCUGGAAUUCAACAGAUGUUUGUUUACCAUGCAGGGAUUGCUCUUCAAGAAACACAGCGCAAAAAAGUUGCACACUUGGAUCUUGACCAUAAUACUGGACAGCAUGGAAUAUUGUUUGGAUCCAAUAAGGCUGCUUUUAUAGGUUCAUACCAAUACAUUAUGGACUUCAUCUUGACAUAAAAUCCAAAACACCUGUAUUUGAUAACAGACAUCAGAUCUCAAGGAAGUAACUAUGAAGAUCCUAAACCUCUUAGGAAAAUGUCCUGUGCAAGUUACAAGGAAAGCAUGUUCCAUAAAAAGAUGUAACUGUUUCUUUGCCAGUCAUGCCUGAAGAUCCACCAUGUGCUGACACAGAGGCCGAUCUGGAGCUAAGUGGUAGAUCAUCCUCUCUGAAAAUAAACCUCCUGGUAACUGGUCCCUGCUCAUUAACCUUUAUUAGCUAGUAUGCUAUUUUCAUGUUUAUGUAGUUGCAAUGUGAUGUUCUUUCCUCCCUAUAUUUUCCAAAGAGGAUUUUCUUUUUUUGACUGUCUCAGCUUUUUUUGUGCGAAAUCCCUUCUGGCUCCUGACAAAGCAUCUCUGGAGGAAGCUUUUGAAAUAACCCUUGCAAAAAGAUGUGUAAGGGAUGGCCUAUGAAGAUAGAUUGAAAGACAACAGACAAAUUUUGCCAGGGCGAGGGGCUAAUGGAAAGAUGCUUAGAGUAACAGUUAUUUUUAGUUUGUGUUUUAAUGGUUGGAUCCCAGUUUUAUGUUCAUUUUUUAUUUGUAAUCUGCUUUAGGCAACUCCUUUCACCUUCAAAAAAGUGGGGUAUACUUUUUU